rnacentral:rRNA from 1 species
ACUUCGGUCAAAUGACUUUUGAACUUAGUGGCGGACGGGUGAGUAACGCGUGAGCAACCUGCCUUUCAGAGGGGGAUAACAUUUGGAAACAGAUGCUAAUACCGCAUAAGAUUACAGUACCGCAUGAUACAGUGAUCAAAGGAGCAAUCCGCUGAAAGAUGGGCUCGCGUCCGAUUAGAUAGUUGGUGAGGUAACGGCUCACCAAGUCGACGAUCGGUAGCCGGACUGAGAGGUUGAACGGCCACAUUGGGACUGAGACACGGCCCAGACUCCUACGGGAGGCAGCAGUGGGGAAUAUUGCACAAUGGGCGAAAGCCUGAUGCAGCAACGCCGCGUGAGGGAAGACGGUUUUCGGAUUGUAAACCUCUGUUUUCGGUGACGAAUAAAUGACGGUAACCGAGUAGGAAGCCACGGCUAACUACGUGCCAGCAGCCGCGGUAAUACGUAGGUGGCAAGCGUUAUCCGGAAUUACUGGGUGUAAAGGGAGCGCAGGCGGGAUAGCAAGUCAGCUGUGAAAACUAUGGGCUCAACCCAUAAACUGCAGUUGAAACUGUUAUUCUUGAGUGGAGUAGAGGCAAGCGGAAUUCCGAGUGUAGCGGUGAAAUGCGUAGAUAUUCGGAGGAACACCAGUGGCGAAGGCGGCUUGCUGGGCUCUAACUGACGCUGAGGCUCGAAAGUGUGGGGAGCAAACAGGAUUAGAUACCCUGGUAGUCCACACUGUAAACGAUGAUUGCUAGGUGUGGGGGGUCUGACCCCCUCCGUGCCGGAGUUAACGCAAUAAGCAAUCCACCUGGGGAGUACGGCCGCAAGGUU